GCCUGGGUGGCUCAGUUGGUUAAGCAUCCGACUUCAAAUCAGAUCAUGAUCUCACAGCUCGCAGGUUCGAGCCUGGUGUCAGGCU
rnacentral:tRNA from 1 species